rnacentral:lncRNA from 1 species
CUACUUGGGUCUAGUCUUUGGUUCGUUUAAUGUGAAAUGGUUGUUUCUGUAUCUUUUCUUUCUUAUCGCAAGAACUAUAUCUACUUGGGUCUAGUGUUUGUUUCGUUUAAUGUGAAAUGGUUGUUUCUGUAUCUUUUCUUUCUUAUCACAAGACCUAUAUCUACUUGGGUCUAGUGUUUGUUUCGUUUAAUGUGAAAUGGUUGUUUNNNNNNNNNNNNNNNNNNNNAACUAUAUCUACUUGGGUCUAGUGUUUGUUUCGUUUAAUGUGAAAUGGUUGUUUCUGUAUCUUUUCUUUCUUAUCACAAGACCUAUAUCUACUUGGGUCUAGUGUUUGUUUCGUUUAAUGUGAAAUGGUUGUUUCUGUAUCUUUUCUUUCUUAUCACAAGAACUAUAUCUACUUGGGUCUAGUGUUUGUUUCGUUUAAUGUGAAAUGAUUGUUUCUGUAUCUUUUCUUUCUUAUCACAAGAACUAUAUCUACUUGGGUCUAGUCUUUGUUUCGUUUAAUGUGAAAUGGUUGUUUCUGUAUCUUUUCUUUCUUAUUAUAAGAACUAUAUCUACUUGGGUCUAGUCUUUGUUUCGUUUAAUGUGAAAUGGAUGUUUCUGUAUCUUUUCUUUCUUAUCACAAGAACAAUAUCGAAACUCGAUUCACAUCAUGCUCGAGCAAGUUUCAAUUAUACCAUUGUAACUGUUACAGAUGUACCAAGUCUGACAUGGUUGAUACAACCAAACCCACACCUGUAACCCAGGUUAAUUGAGUGGCGAACUGUUUGUCUAUUGUUUUAGCUACCAUUUCCCAUUACGUGGGAGUAGAAAGAGUCAGUCCUCCACAUUCACAUAGCAGUUUAGCCAAGAAAGUAUGACUCUGAUAUCUGUGAGCACGA